rnacentral:rRNA from 1 species
UCCUACGGGAGGCAGCAGUGGGGAAUAUUGCGCAAUGGAGGAAGCCCUGACGCAGCAACGCCGCGUGAAGGAUGAAGGUCUUCGGAUUGUAAACUUCUUUGAUUGGGGACGAAGAAGUGACGGUACCUAAAAAACAAGCCACGGCUAACUACGUGCCAGCAGCCGCGGUAAUACGAUGGAGGCAAGCGUUGUCCGGAUUUACUGG